UCUUCUUCAUGGACUCGUUCUUCUUCCUUGCGGGAUCUCAGGCAAGAUGACCAUACCCUCGAAAUCACUUCUAUCUUUGCUUGCUAGUUGCUCGCUCUUUUGCUAUGCCUAUGCUGCGAUACCUACCACUUGCUUAUCAUGCCUCCCAUAUUGUUGAACCAAGCCUCUAACCCACCUUGUCCUAGCAAAACGUUGUUUGGCUAUGUUACCGCUUUGCUCAGCCCCUCUUAUAGCGUUGUUAGUUGCAGGUGAAGAUUGAAGUUUGUUCCUUGUUGGAACAUGGCAAUGUUGUUCCUUGUUGGAACAUGUUUACUUGUUGGGAUAUCACAAUAUAUCUUAUUUAAUUAAUGCAUCUAUAUACUUGGUAAAGGGUGGAAGGCUCGGCCUUAUGCCUGGUGUUUUGUUUCACUCUUGCCACCCUAGUUUCCGUCAUAUCGGUGUUAUGUUCCUGGAUUUUGCGUUCCUUACGCGGUUGGGUAAUAAUGGGAACCCCUUGACAGUUCGCCUUGAAUAAAACUCCUCCAGCAAGGCCCAACCUUGGUUUUACCAUUCGCCACCUAGCCUUUUUCCCUUGGGAGUCGCGCAUCCCGAGGGUCAUCUUUAUUUUAACCCCCCCGGGCCAGUGCUUGUCUAAGUGUUGGUCCGAACUAGAGUCCUUUGCAGCGCCACCUCGGGGAAACUUGAGGGCUGGUUUUAGUUGUAUGGAGUGCUCAUCCGGUGUUACACUAAGAACGAGAUAUGUGCAGCUCCUAUCAGGAUGUCGGCGCAUCGGGCGGUCUUGCUGGUCUUGUUUUACCUAUCGAAAUGUCUUGUAACCGGGAUUCCGAGCCUGAUCGGGUCUUCCCGCUAGAAGGAAUAUCCUUCAUUGACCGUGAGAGCUUGUGAUGGGCUAAGUUGAGACACCCCUGCAGGGAUUUGAACUUUUGAAAGCUGUGCCCGCGGUUAUGGGCAGAUGGGAAUUUGUUAUUGUCCAAUUGUAGAAAACCUGAAGUUGACCUUAAUUAAAAUGCACCAACCGCGUGUGUUACCGUGAUGGUCUCUUCUCGGCGGGGUCCGGGAAGCGAAUACGGUGUUGGAGUUAUGCUUGACGUAGGUUGUUCUAGGAUCACUUCUUGAUCAUAGUUUCUCGACCGUGCUUUGCCUUCUCUUCUCGCUCUCAUUUGCGUAUGUUAGCCAUCAUAUAUGCUAGUCGCUUGCUGCAGCUCCACCUCAUACCUUUUAUCUUACCCAUAAGCUUAAAUAGUCUUGAUCGCGAGGGUGUGAGAUUGCUGAGUCCCCGUGGCUCACAGAUACUUUCAAAACCAGUUUGCAUGUGCUGAUGUUACCAAGCAGGUAACGCAACCAAGCUCAAGGAGGAGCUCGAUGAAGAUCUUGUCCUUUGUGUUGUUCCGUUCUAGUUGAUCAGUAGUGGAGCCCAGUUGGGGUCGAUCGGGGACCUUGUCGCAUUUGGGGUUCUUCUUUUAUUUUGGUUCCGUAGUCGGACCUUGAUUGUAUUUGGUUGAUGUAAUGCUUUAUUCAUGCAAUUGUGUGAAGUGGCGAUUGUAAGCCAACUAUGUAUCUCUUUCCCUUAUGUAUUACAUGGAUUGUGUGAAGAUUACCUCACUUGCGACAUUGCUUUCAAUGCGGUUAUGCUUCUAAGUCGUGCUUCGACACGUAGGAGAUAUAGCCGUCUCGAGGGCGUUUCAGUUGCCUUGUCAUUCGCUUGCGUGUUGCAUCUUGUCAUUGCAUCAUCAUGUUUUCAAAACUUGCAUCUAUCCCGGUCUCCCAGUUCCUUCCGUUGUCCGUUCUGAGUCCAGACACACUUGCACGCGCCCGUGGCAUGUCCGAAAUAGUAUUUUAUAGGUGGCCGGAAAAUGUUCUCGGAAUGGGAUGAGAGUUGGCGUGUGGUCUUAUUAUAGUGUAGAUAGACCUCCUGUCAAGUUUCAUCGCAUUCGGAGUCCGUUUGAUAGCCCAACCGUUAAACUAUAGCGGCAGUUUAGCCGGUCUAUCAUCGGACGUUUUCGGUCUUCGAAAACAGUCGCCGGGCCUCUCUCUCUUCUCUCCUCUCAGCUCGAGGCCUUCUUUCCACAGCCCACUAGCCCCUCCUAGGCCGCUUGUCUUGUCAACCUCUCUCAGACCCCCUUCGCGUGUGUGUCCGAAACUUCCCCGAACCCGAAUCGGGUUGUCGUCACCGCUGGAUUCGGAUCGUCCCCAAACGUCUACAAAACAUCACCGUUUUCUUAUUUGGACUUCCUAGUGUUUUUUUCUCGACCGCUCGAUUUUAAUUAAAGGGACGGAUUAGCCCCUAAACUUCCCUCUUUUCCAUAUAUAUAGUCCACUCCUAGGCUAUUUUGGACAAAGCCUAAAACCUAGGGCACUUGUCCCAUCCAUCCCUCACCCGUCGCCGCCACUUUUCCCACCAUCUACAUCGGGAUCCUUCCUGAUCCAGCCAACUACCAGCUCCCCUCCCGAUCCACCUACCAGGCAUCGCCACUUUUCCCCUUGCUCUCCAUGCCCAACCAACCACGCCGCGCCCCUGAUCUAAAAAUCCCUCUCGGCCUCCCCACCUCGAGCUCCUACCAGAUCACCACGCCGUCUCGCGAGCGCCCAAAUCCCCAGCAAGCCGCUGCCCGCCGCAAGCCACAGCACCACCAGAGCUCCUUCCGCUGUUGAGCUCCACCAGCAGCCGAGCCACGUCGUCCUGUUUGUCUGCAUCGGCAGCCAGGCACCUGAGGCAUCGCGCUCCUCCCGCUCAUCACCUCGCCUCCCCUACCUUCCCUUCCUUCUCAUCUCUCUCUCUCGUCCUGGACAGGAGAGCAGCCAUGGCCGUCCGUCCAUGGAGGCGAGCCGCGCCGCCCUGGUCACCUGCGACCUCGGGUCGCCUCCGCGUUAUCCUCACCGCCCGCUGGAGCCGAGGCAGUCGCCUCCUCAGUUCGUCGUGCCGCCACCGAGUUCGCUGGGUCCGCUGCCUCCGGCACCCCUUCCUCAACCGCGCCUGCAACCCCUGCCUCCCUCGCGCGCCAAGUUCGCCGCCGUCGCUCUCCUGCAUCGCCGCUGCCUUCGCUUGUCUCGCCGGCGUGCGUCCCGCCUAGUCCCUCCGCCGUCCCGCGUUUGGAGCCGCGUCCCUCUGCUUCGAGCUGCCUCCAGCACCUCGUUCUCCUUCAAGACCGGCCGGCCACAGCGCCGACCCACCAGAUCCGGCCUCCCCCUCGCCUUCUCCGCCUCGCAAGCCACCACGCCUUCCCGGAGUUCCUCGCCGCGCCGCUCCUCUGUUCCGUUCGAGCAGAGACGAACCGCUUCAGCCGCCUCGCGUUGACCCGCCAGCACCAAGGCCCAGCCCGCAUCGCCUCGCCUCGGUCCAUCUCCACGCGCAGCUCAAACCGGCCCAAGCCACAUCCGCAGCCCAUCCCCACCGACCGGCCUCGCUGGGCCGCAAGGUGAGAUCCACCUCCAGCUGUUGUGGGGCCAGCCUGCCAGAUUCGGCCCAGCUCUAUAUUUUUUCUGCCUGAACGUUUUUCCUUUUAUCCUGUGAACGCCAAUUUGCAGAAAAACCCUUGCACUUCAUUCAUUUAAUAACUCACAAAUGAUGCAUCGGAUUAAAAUAAGUUAUAUAUGAAAUGUGCUUAGAUUUUUGUCUAGUUUCAUAAUAUGUCAAUUUCAUCCAUGUUUAAAAUGCUUAAAAAUGUUGUUUGUUUAAAUUUGCUUAAAUAACUCGCUAAAAUGAUUUAAUUCAUAACAAUUUAACCGUAGCUCGGUUUUAAACAAAAUUAAUAUGUAAAUGGGGUAGAAAAAUGCCUAGUUUAACAUGGUGGCUGCACUUUGCAUGUUUAACAACUCUAAAUAUGGUUUAGGGCAUAAUAGGACCAAACCUUAAAAUAUGCACAUGAGGAGUUUCUAGACUUAUUGUUUUGUUGUUCCGGCCUCAUUUAAACUUGCCUAGAUAGAUAGUUUCAUUAUGCUUCAUCUCUUGCCAUGUUUAACAACAUUUAAUAUUGUUGGGUACAUAAACGAGAGAGAACUAAAUAACUGAAUGUGGUGUUUCAUCAAUAUGCAUCCACUUAUUUUUUAGGAUUGCUUGUGCACUUUCCCAUGCCAUGCAUAUUUAAACCGGACAUGCAUCAUAAUUGAUUGUGCAUCAUGUCAUGAUUAUGUGGUGGUUGUUUACUAUGUUGUUUGCUUCUUUCCGGUGUUGCUUCUUCGGGUUAGUUUCGAUUACGUCGCGUUCGUGAGGAUCCGUUCGACUACGUCCGGUUGUCUUCUUCAUGGACUCGUUCUUCUUCCUUGCGGGAUCUCAGGCAAGAUGACCAUACCCUCGAAAUCACUUCUAUCUUUGCUUCCUAGUUGCUCGCUCUUUUCCUAUGCCUAUGAUGUGAUACCUACCACUUGCUUACCAUGCCUCCCAUAUUGUUAAACCAAGCCUCUAACCCACCUUGUCCUAGCAAACCGUUGUUUGGCUAUGUUACCGCUUUGCUCAGCCCCUCUUAUAGCGUUGUUAGUUGCAGGUGAAGAUUGGAGUUUGUUCCUUGUUGGAACAUGGAUAUUUUGUUGGGAUAUCACAAUAUCUCUUAUUUAAUUAAUGCAUCUAUAUACUUGGUAAAGGGUGGAAGGCUCGGCCUUAUGCCUAGUGUUUUGUUCCACUCUUGCCGCCCUAGUUUCCGUCAUAUCGGUGUUAUGUACCCGGAUUUUGCGUUCCUUACACGGUUGGGUUAUAAAGGGAACCCCUUGAUAGUUUGCCUUGAAUAAAACUCCUCCAGCAAUGCCCAACAUUGGUUUUACCAUUCGCCACCUAGCCUUUUCUUUCACUUGGGUUCUAUAGACUUAAGGGUCAUCUUUAUUUAAACCCCCCAGGCCAGUGCUCGUCUGAGUGUUGGUCCAAACUAGAGCCCUGUGCAGCACCCUCUCGGGGAAACUCGAGGUUUGGUUUUAGUUGUAUGGAGCGCUCAUCUGAGUGUGCCCAACGAGAUAUGUGCAGCUCCUAUCGGGAUUAGUCGGCACAUUCGGGCGGUGUUGCUGGACUUGUUUUACCAUUGUCGAGGAUGUCUUGUAACCGGGAUGCCGAGUCUGAUCGGAUUGUCUUGGGAGAAGGAAUAUCCUUCAUUGACCGUGAGAGCUUGUGAUGGGCUAAGUUGGGACACCCCUGCAGGGAUUUGAACUUUCGAAAGCCGUGCCUGCAGUUAUGGGCAGAUGGGAAUUUGUUAAUGUCCGGUUGUAGAAAACCUAAAGUUGAUCUUAAUUAAAAUACAUCAACCGUGUGUGUAGCCGUGAUGGUCUCUUCUCGGCGGGGUCCGGGAAGUGAACAUGGUGUUGGAGUUAUGCUUGACGUAGGUUGUUCUAGGAUCACUUCUUGAUCAUAGUUUCCCGACCGUUCUUUUGCAUUCUCUUCUCGCUCUCUUUUGCAUAUAUGUUAGCCACCAGAUAUGCUAGUCGCUUGCUGCAGCUCCACCUCCUACCUUUUACCCUACCUAUAAGCUUAAAUAGUCUUGAUCGCGAGGGUGUGAGAUUGCUGAGUCCCCGUGACUCACAGAUACUUCCAAAACCCAGUUUGCAGGUGCCGUUGAUACCGAGCAGGUGAGGCAACCAAGCUCAAGGAGGAGCUCGAUGAAGACCUUGUUUGUUAUGUUGUUUCGUUUCCAGUUGAUCAGUAGUGGAGCCCAGUUGGGACGAUCGGGGAUCUAUGUAGCAUUUGGGGUAGUCUUAUUGUAUUUUGGUUCCGUAGCCAGACCUUGAUUUGUAUCUGGGUGAUGUAAUGCUUUUUUCAUGUAAUUGUGUGAAGUGGCGAUUAUAAGCCAACUAUGUAUCUCUUUCCCUUUUAUGUAUUAAAUGGGUUGUUGUGAAGAUUACCUCACUUGCGACAUGGCUUUCAAUGCGGUUAUGCCUCUAAGUCGUGCUUCGACACAUGGGAGAUAUAGCCGCAUCGAGGGCGUUUCAAGUUGGUAUCAGAUCCUUUCCCGACUUUAGGAGCCCCCUGCUUGAUCGAAUCACUGGCGUUGUUGAGUCUAGAAAAAUGUUUUGAGUCAUUUAGGAUUAUAUAUAUCGGAGAGUUAGGAAUUCUUUUUACUCCUCAAUCCCUUCGUCGCUCUGGUGAGGCAUCCUGACGU
rnacentral:lncRNA from 1 species